rnacentral:misc_RNA from 1 species
CACAGAUUUUUUGAAAUCAGGAAGGUUUCGUGAUGAUGAUGGUGAGAUCAAGGGUGCAGUUGUGAAUUUGAAUUGAAGGAAAGCGAGUCAGGGGAGGUGGUGGGAAAAGAAGCAUUUUAUGCUUAUGCUUAUCCUCAGGGGGAGAGAGAGAGAGAGAGAGAGAGAGAGAGCUAGCUGUGAGAGGGGGCAGCCAGAUGAAAUGAUAUAGGGAAGUGAAAAUUGAUGAUAUUACUAAAAUUAAACUAG